rnacentral:lncRNA from 1 species
UUCAUUUUUAUUGCUACGGGAAUAAUAACCAAAUGCGGAGUUGGGGAAUAUGAAGUCUCCCCUACACCCCUGAUUGCUCAGUGCACCAUUGUGGGGCCUUCAUCCUUUGAGCCUAUAGCAUUUUCCUAAAUAAACCCCUAGUUUUUAGCCUAUUUUUGUCAUUUGAAUAUUUUUUUAUUUAUUGUUUAUUUAUUUUUAUUAUUGUUUUAUUUUUUUAUUUUUAUUUUUUCUUUUAUUUCCUUUAGUUUUUUUUAAUCUUUUUACCUCUUGUAUUGAUAGUGUGUCCCUUCCCUUUUAUUACUUAUUUUAUUUUAUUUUAUUUUUAUUGUUUUAUUUUUUAUUUUACUUUAUUGUAUUUUUAGUUGAUGCAUAAUUGUUAAUCCAAAAAGAUAAAAUGACUCUUAAAAUUAAUUUUUCAAAAAUACUAAAAUCAAAAGUGUUUGAUCAACAUCAAAUACAUUUUUUUAAAUCACACAAAACCUUUUUCAAACCAAAAUCAAUCGCUUAACAUCCAUUAACCUUUACA